rnacentral:rRNA from 1 species
AACGAACGCUGGCGGCAUGCCUAACACAUGCAAGUCGAACGAUACCUUCGGGUCUGGUGGCGCACGGGUUCGUAACGCGUGGGAACCUGCCCUUAGGUUCGGAAUAACUCCCCGAAAGGGGUGCUAAUACCGGAUAAUGUCUUCGGACCAAAGAUUUAUCGCCUUUGGAUGGGGCCGCGUUGGAUUAGCUAGUUGGUAGGGUAAAAGCCUACCAAGGCGACGAUCCAUAGCUGGUCUGAGAGGAUGAUCAGCCACACUGGGACUGAGACAGGGCCCAGACUCCUACGGGAGGCAGCAGUGGGGAAUAUUGGACAAUGGGCGAAAGCCUGAUCCAGCAAUGCCGCGUGAGUGAUGAAGGCCUUAGGGUUGUAAAGCUCUUUUACCCGGGAUGAUAAUGACAGUACCGGGAGAAUAAGCUCCGGCUAACUCCGUG